rnacentral:misc_RNA from 1 species
GUGAAUCAUCAAAUUUUUGAACGCAAAUUGCACUCUCUGGUAUUCCGGAGAGUAUGCCUGUUUGAGGGUCAGUUUAAAUAAAAAUCGGUGUGGUUGCUGCUUUUUGUGGUGACGCACCGGAUUUAGGUCGUCUUGCUUUUGGCUAUGUGACCUAAAAUCUUGAAUGAUUUUUUAGACCGUUUUUAAAUGAUUUUACGUACGCUAGCGCAAUCGAAUACUAGCUGAGGAAAACCUCAU